ensembl:lncRNA
GCUCCAGAGAGUUGUUAGAUGCAUUCAUUUUAUUUGCAUUAAGUGAUUUGUCUUGUUUGAGUGUCCCACAAACAUAUUAGGUAAAUAAGUAAGGUUUCAUUAACCUGCUAUAAAAUCACAGGACCGAGGCAUUUAUCUUGGCCAUAUAGCAUCAACCCCCGGUACCUGCCCAGAACAAUCGAAAGAGAUGGAGAAUACGACUUGCAUGUUUUCCAAUGGCACAGAAUCAGCCGGAAAUAAUGGGACAAUCGUUUGCACAACCAAACUAUAUCAGACUUACAUCACAAUAAGUAACAUUCUUAGUAUUUUCAUUGGACAACCUUGGGUUGCAAAAAUGCUGUGGACCACCUUUCACUCAAAGAAGAAGGACAUCCUUAACAUCAAUUUGGCUAUUUUUCACAACAUCCAAUACCUGCUAAUUACUAUACACGUGUGUAUGAUUUAUUUAUACAGGGAACUCAAUUCACAAAUAGUUUCUUUCAUAGCUGUUUAUCUUCUUAUCGUUGACUUUAUCCUUCAUCUGUUUGGAGCGGUACAUUGCUGUGAUCCAUCCCACCUUCUAUCCACUGUUGAAGAAGUACAGAUGCAGGGAGGGUUGUGUGCUCUCGAUGUGGUGUAUUGUGUUGCCCACUGCCACGACAAAAGCUUUUUUGGAUGGAUUCAAUAACGUAAGUAAAGUGAUAGACUUAAUGGCGUACACCGUACUGUGCUUCGUGGCAAUUGAAAUGGCUUGGGUCAACAUCGGCAUUCUGAAAGCCCUCAGAACUUCGGGGCCUGCGACUCAUAAAUUGCAUCCUGCCAAAAAGCGAGCUUCUCAAACUGUGUGUGGCAUUGCGUUCAUUGCAAUGAUAUGUUACACUCCAGUGGGUGUAUGUGUUUUUGUCACAUUUAUUAUCGGACCCGAUUCAACUUGUUUUUUAGUUCCUGCUGUCAUAUUACUGGUGUCUGUUGCUAGUGUUGCACAUCCCAUAUUUUACCUGUCAACUGCAGGGAACCUGCCUUGCCGAAGAUCGUCACCGACUCAGUAGAAACACUGCUUACUGCUAACGAUAUAUUCUCUAUAAAGAGCAGAGCAUACUGCUCCUGUGAAACACAAUUCAUGUACAAUUCAUUGAAAGUUUAUAGGUUUAAACCUUAUCAUUGGCAAAUUGAGAGAUCCAAUGGAAGCGGU